GACGAACGCUGGCGGCGUACUUAACACAUGCAAGUCGAACGGAAAGGCCCUGCUUUUGUGGGGUGCUCGAGUGGCGAACGGGUGAGUAACACGUGAGUAACCUGCCCUUGACUUUGGGAUAACUUCAGGAAACUGGGGCUAAUACCGGAUAGGAGCUCCUGCUGCAUGGUGGGGGUUGGAAAGUUUCGGCGGUUGGGGAUGGACUCGCGGCUUAUCAGCUUGUUGGUGGGGUAGUGGCUUACCAAGGCUUUGACGGGUAGCCGGCCUGAGAGGGUGACCGGCCACAUUGGGACUGAGAUACGGCCCAGACUGCUACGGGAGGCAGCAGUGGGGAAUAUUGCACAAUGGGCGGAAGCCUGAUGCAGCAACGCCGCGUGCGGGAUGACGGCCUUCGGGUUGUAAACCGCUUUCGCCUGUGACGAAGCGUGAGUGACGGUAAUGGGUAAAGAAGCACCGGCUAACUACGUG
rnacentral:rRNA from 1 species